rnacentral:tRNA from 1 species
GGUGGCUUAUGCAAGUGGUUAAAGCAAGCAGUCCGUAAAACUGCCGCCUUCGGGCUUCGAAAGUUCGAAUCUUUCAACCACCA